rnacentral:rRNA from 1 species
AAAUAGAACUUUGAAGAGAGAGUUAAGAGGGCGUGAAACCGUUGAUUGGCAAACGAAUCGGAGCCACGAAGUCGUUUCGUGUUAUACGUUGUUCAGGUGGCUUUUUCAUCGAGAGCUAUCGUAUUCAAUGUAAACGUACACUGCAACCAGUUAGGCGGCGGUUGGAGGUAGUUCACCGGGGUUGGUAGUGGUGCUGGCUGUUUCGGCAGUUUGGUGCCGCUGGGCCUCGGUGGGUGAACUAACCGCUUAGACUGACUGGCAAAAUGAAAAUCGCUUGAUUGGCGUUGAAACGCUGCGCUUGCAUUGUGGACUACACGGCUGAGCCGCUAAGUCUUAAGCUCGGCAUUUUUGAAUUUGGACUUGCUAGCUACCAGUGGGGCAACUCCUGGUGCUAGUAUAGCUUCCAUCUAAUCGGGUGUUGACUUGGCUUAGCGUCGUCUCGACGUGUUACGAUAGUCCAAAAUGUAUGGUGUUUAGCAAUUGGAUUGGCAGUGAGUAGGUCGGCUUUCCGAACGACCCGUCUUGAAACACGGACCAAGGAGUCUAAUUAGGCAUCGAGUCGAUCGGUCUUGAAUAGGCCAGAGUGGGCACCUUURCCCGAUCGAAGGCGAAGAGACAAUCAUGUGAGGCCCUAAGAAAGCCCGCAACAUGUGCCUGUUGCAACGAGUGUGCAACACUCGGCAGCGGAGCAAAGAGAUGCCUGAUUGGUACCCGAAAGAUGGUGAUGCUUGGGCAAAUUGAAGCCAGAGGAAACUCUGGUGGAGGAUUGUAGCGAUUCUGACGUGCAAAUCGAUCGUCAGACCUGAGUAUAGGGGCGAAAGACUAAUCGAACCAUC